GAAAGGGGAGGCGGAUGCGAAGAGGUGAAGGUGUGACGGAGGGCGGGAGGGAAGAAGGUGACCAAAUGUCUGACAUAUUGACUAAGCCUUUAAGUACACAGAAACACCAGAAAUGUAUAAAAGAGUUGGGAAUAUGUUUUGUUCAGGCAUGAAAAAAUUAGGAAGGGUGUCAGAAUAUAGAAAUUUUAUAGGCCCGAACCUGGAAUAAAUGUAUUAUUAACGAGCUGCCAUUGUGCACAGAUGUGUGUAUGCUGAGUCACUCCGAAGAUGAUGCAAUGUCUGGAAAUAAGAAGACACCAGGUGCACAAGAUGAAGUCAUGUGUCUUCUGAUUGGACUAGAGAUGCCAUGUACUGUAUAUGUAUAUUAGUGAACAGUGUCUUUGUAUCCUUCUCUUCUUUCUCCACCAUUUCCUGCCAGCCACUAUGUCCGUUUGUGUAAAGAGUUCCUGCCAUGCUGAUGUGAUGCCUGCCUGUAAAUACUUGUAAAUAUUGUAAAUACAGCCGUCUUGCAAAAGAAGAAGAACUUGUAAGUGUCUUCAAUAAUUCUGCACAUUUUUCCUGUCGCCAAAUCCUUGACAUUUUGUGGGAGGGUUUGGGGGGUGCGGCUCCCUUCCCCAUCUUUCCGUUGCAAUUCAUGGGGGAGGGACGGAGGGUGGGGGGGAUGCCCUGCAAUCCAGAUACAAAAAGGUAGGUCAGGAUCCUCUGCAGGAUCCCCUUUGAAGUCUUGCAUCUUUUGCAGAUCCACCCAGUUGUCAAGGAAUUUAGGCGGAGAGGAGGAAGGGGGUGAAAGUUUAAUUUUUAAAAAAUAAUUGUCUAGGUGAUUUUUGCGGGGGGAGGGGAGGAAGGAAGCUCUCUCUUUAUCUCCCUGCUCCCAGAAACAAGAGGAGGGUUUCCUGAACCUUAGGAGAUUCGGGGACCUACUGUUGCGCCUGCAGGGGAUUCGCCCGAAGCUGCUUCUGGUUCUCAUGGACAAUAAAAUGACAUCUGAGACAGACUCCGGAUUGCUGCUUCUUGGUGGUGGAGAGGAAAGAAUAACCAUGCAGCCACCUCAGGUAAGUCAACAAGAGAGACGAAGGGAACAGUCUAUCAGCCUCUUAGCUGUAUUUCAGGUUUAGCAUCUAAAAGGUGAUGGCGGUAAUAUUUCUUCCUCAGAUUUAAAUACAUCAGGACAUUUUUUUUCUUUUAAAAAAGAUCAAGAUGUCUUUCACCAUUGAAGUGCACAAUAUGGGAGCUAGAAACAAUAUUAGAAUGGAUAUGAUUGUACUCUAAAAUCUUACUUAAGAAAAGACAUGGUUCAUUGUUGUUUAGGUGAGUGUUCUGUUUAAUGGUCAUUGCAUAAAGCUGCUUCUUUUAGAGCAGUGAUUUUCAACCUUUGGUCCCAGAUGUUCUUGAACUAAAACUUCCAGAAGCCUUCACUACUCGCUGUGCUGGCCAGGAUUUCUGGGAGUGGUAGUCCAAGGACAUCUGGGGACCCUGAGUUGGGAACCCCUGUUUUAGAGGGAUUUGGACACAACUCUCUUUCAGCGAAGCAUCUUUAACCACUGCCACUGUCCAGCUGGCCAGCUCUCCUCUGGCGCUUGUUAUGAGCAACGAUGGACAAAUAAGAAAUCAUGAGGAUAAUGAAUUCACAUGGUGCUGAUAUUUUAAAAGUACCUGCUGGAAAUAAAAUAUUUUCUUUUAUACUUUUUUGUGCUGCA
rnacentral:lncRNA from 1 species